GGAGGGGUGGCUGAGUGGCUGAAAGCGCCGGUUUGCUAAACCGUUAUACGGAUAAUAAUCUGUAUCGAGGGUUCGAAUCCCUCUCCCUCCG
rnacentral:tRNA from 1 species